rnacentral:sRNA from 1 species
AUUCUGCCCAUGUGGGGAAGGAUGAAGCUUCGACUAGGUUCGAUUCGAGCGCAGCGAAAGCGUUACCGCAGGCAACGACGAGGAACGGCGCGGCGCUGAGUAUCCUUCCCCACCACCA